AGAGUUUGAUCAUGGCUCAGAUUGAACGCUGGCGGCAUGCUUUACACAUGCAAGUCGAACGGCAGCACGGGGGCAACCCUGGUGGCGAGUGGCGAACGGGUGAGUAAUAUAUCGGAACGUACCCGGAAAUGGGGGAUAACGUAGCGAAAGUUACGCUAAUACCGCAUAUGCCCUAAGGGGGAAAGCGGGGAUUCGCAAGAACCUCGCGUUUUCGGAGCGGCCGAUAUCGGAUUAGCUAGUAGGUGAGGUAAAGGCUCACCUAGGCGACGAUCCGUAGCUGGUCUGAGAGGACGACCAGCCACACUGGAACUGAGACACGGUCCAGACUCCUACGGGAGGCAGCAGUGGGGAAUUUUGGACAAUGGGCGCAAGCCUGAUCCAGCCAUGCCGCGUGAGUGAAGAAGGCCUUCGGGUUGUAAAGCUCUUUCAGCCGGAAAGAAAACGCACGGGUUAAUAACCUGUGUGGAUGACGGUACCGGAAGAAGAAGCACCGGCUAACUACGUG
rnacentral:rRNA from 1 species